GUGGAUUAGAUACCCGGGUAGUCCACGCCCUAAACGAUGUCAACUAGGUGUUGGGUGGGUAAAACCAUUUAGUACCGGAGCUAACGCGUGAAGUUGACCGCCUGGGGAGUACGGCCGCAAGGUUAAAACUCAAAGGAAUUGACGGGGACCCGCACAAGCGGUGGAUGAUGUGGAUUAAUUCGAUGCAACGCGAAAAACCUUACCUACCCUUGACAUGUCAGAAACUUGGCAGAGAUGCCUUGGUGCCCGAAAGGGAAUCUGAACACAGGUGCUGCACGGCCGUCGACAGCU
rnacentral:rRNA from 1 species